rnacentral:rRNA from 1 species
UAGAGAUAGCUGGUUAUUCAGGAAAAGAAUAUUAGUUCUACUUUAAACCUUUAUAUAAUGCCAAAUACACCCACAGGUUUAAAUUUUAUUCAAAUAAGGUACAGCCUAUUUGAAACAGGAUACAACCUAAAACAGAGGGUAAUGUCAAAACUAACGUGACUAAGUAGACCUAAAAGCAGCCAUCUUUAAAAAAGCGUUAAAGCCUUAUCACACUCCUCAAUUAAUAUCAACCUAAACCCAAAACCCCUCAUCCAUACUGAAUUACUCCAUACUCAUAUGGAAGACCCCAUGUUUGAACUAGUAACAAGAAUAACUUCUCCAUAAACGUAAAUGUAAGUCGGAAUGGACCACCCACCGACACUUACCGCCAAUGAACCCACAGUAACAACUUCCUCAAGAAAACUUUACUUUCUCCCCAACGUUAACCUUACACAAGAACUUUACUGGAAAGAUUAAAAAAAGAGGAAGGAACUCGGCAAACACUAACCCCGCCUGUUUACCAA